rnacentral:lncRNA from 1 species
CCGGCCUCAGCCACCGCCUCGGGGCCGGCUGCAGGCGGGGGACAGCGCCGGGAAGCCCCCGCGGGCGGCACCACGGGCACAGGUGCAGGGCGGCGGGCACCCAACGGCCGCGCCCCACCCGGUCCCCGGGCACGGCGCAGGGGGCGUCCGCAGCCCCCCGGCCCUCACCUGCUCUCCGCAGCCCGACGAGCGCUUCUCCCUCGGACCAGCCGGCGGGGCGCGGAGGGAAGGAGGAGGCGGCGGCGAAGCGAGCUGGGAGGCGGCUGAAGAGCGGCGCCUUCCCCCCCGCCGCCGGCGACCACCCGGCUGCGAUCGCGGGAGCGGCCGCGGCAAGCGGCUCGGGCGCCUUUGUUACGCCUCCCCCGGCUGCAGAGCGCUGCUGGGGAGGGAGCCCGGGCUGCAGCUGCUUCGCCUUUCUUCGGCUGCUGCCGCUGGCGGUGAUUUGCAUUAGCCCGGCCCUCAUUGACAUGCGGCUCUCCGCAGCAGCCUCUCCCCGCCGCUCUCUCCAGAGGGCGGCGCCGCCGUCUCCCCCUCUCCCCCCGUCUCCCCUCGCCGGGCGCUGCGGGGCGACUGCCUCAGCACUGCCCGCGGCUGCCCUCAGGCCCUGUCUGCCCGCCCGCCGCCUCCCUCACCCGUCCGGCCGCUGGCGAGGCCCUGGCCCGGAGUCCGAGGACGCCUGUUCUCAAAAGCCGAGCACCACCACAUUGACUGUUUCACCAGGUCAACAAUCACAUAAAAUAUUCAUGACAGUCUUAAAUGAUAAGAAAAAACAGGAGACUGCAAAGAUUAGAGAUGGAAAAGACUAUCACGGUCCUGACAAAGGGCUGCUCUUUAACAUUCUUCUUGAGUGCUCUUUUGUCCACCACUGUCGCAGGGUCCUCUGUGGUGCAUGUUUAUAA